CUUCCUCCCGGUCAGCUGAUCCGAGGUGGACGGCGUUCCGCGUGUCGGCCAAUUUUCUUGUAAUCCAGGACGACACAGACGGCCAUGGAUGGAAGCAAGAUGCUGGACUUUGUGGACCCUGGCGGCCAUGAGGAGGUGUCCAUGGGCGCUGGGCAAGGCCGAGGGCGAGGAGUACAGCACACUGGAUGAGGGGGACCAUGGAUGGUGCAGGGCUCUCAGGAGAUGGACAAGCAGAAACAGGGGACCAGAACUCACAGGUGUUCUUCAUUGAGUGUGUGAGUGCUGCUGUCGUCACCAUGAACACCUGCUCGGAGGCACCAAGACCCGUCAAGCCAGUAGUCCGCCCUGCAAGACUGCCUGGUCAUGAUGGGGUCCAGCCUUGCACAGAACUGCUUGGCUGGCUGGCUGGCUGGCCAGUGCCACAAGUUGGUGGUGACAAAGUAAUGCCCUCCAUGACUGCUUCAGCCUGAUGGAUGGAUCUCAUGGUAGGGUAUGAUGGGCUGAGAGAGAAGGAUGAUGAUGUAGCAAGGUGUGUGGUGACCCAGGCUGUGGAGGGUGGCUGCCACACUCACUGCUCCAGCCACUCACAGCUGUACCUCAGGAGCCAGACACCAUCUGCUUCACUCCUGCCCAGACUUUGCCACUCACACCCAACAGCUGCUUCAUCUUAAGGGUUGUGAGCCCCAUGCUAUUGAGUCUCUCCUCGUAAGUCCGAUCCCUAAGUUCCGGUACCAUCUUAGUUGCCAUUCUCUGUACUCUUUCCAGCUUU